CCGCAGUGCGUCGCGCCGCUGCCCGCAUCUCCGAGGCCCGCGACGAGCGGGGCCUCACGGGAGCUGGAUGCUCGGAGCAGCAAGGCGGCCCUGGGGGCCCCUUCCGGUCCCGGGGCUGACGCCUGGCGGCGUCUCCGGGAACCCGCGCCCUUUCAAGCGCCGCUGGCUCCUGUUUCACAGAUGGAGACCCUGAAGCCCCAACAAGCAGCCUCCCCAGCACCUCCCAGUGACUGAAAAAGCUGGCACUGGGCGCCCGUCUCACUCUCCACCCAGCUCCCAGGCUGCCCCACGGGACGUAAGUAGCUCGAUCUAGGCCGCUGACCCCCAGAGACUUGAUGCUGCGCUGCAGACUGCCGCCGCUGCCGGGGCGCUUGACUUCCCCUCUCCUGACAGCACGUUCGUUCCUUUGCAGCAGCACCUUUGGGGAGAGACGAGACCUGAACAAACGCUGGGGCUGGAUCCCCAGGGUGGGUCAGAACAGCCGUUGCCCUGAAAGCUGGCCCGGACAGAUGCGUGCGGGGCGUGCCACCGGAGCUCCUUCCAGCUUGCGUCUGGGGCCACCAUGUCCCUUCCUCAGGGCACUGGAUCCAUCUCUUCAAGCUCAGUGGUCCAGGCCAUGGUGGCAGAAUCACCCCCCAGGGUGUGACGCCUCGUCCCUGUCAAUUCCACACAGCUGCACCCGGAAGAGCUGUGGCCGGGCGCCGCUCUGACCUGUGUGCGGUCCCCUGAAUGGGUCUCAGGUGUCUUCAGAAUGGUGAGGCCGCCUCAUUUCCUCACCACACAACCCUCCUGAGGACGUUGCCUGCAAAUGGGCGGAAUUCCUAAUUUCUACCAUUCAGUUAAACGAGGGAUCCUUAAGCCCCAAAGCUGGGAAAGCUGUCCGUUAAUUUAGUGCGCGUGGGCCGUCUCAGAACAGCAGGGUUCCCAGGAGUCCAGCGGGACGGGGGAGGGGAUGAGUGGCCGUGUCCCCCUGGCAGAGAAGGCCUUGUCUGAAGGCUACGCCCGCCUCCGGUACAGGGACACCUCCUUGCUCAUCUGGCAGCAGCAACAGCAGAAGUUGGAGUCGGUGCCACCUGGGACGUACCUGAGCAGGAGCCGAAGCAUGUGGUACUCACAGUAUGGAAAUGAGGCCAUCUUGGUCCGAGACAAAAACAAGCUCGAGGUCUCUAGGGACACAGGGCAGUCCAAGUUUUGCACAAUUAUGUAAUUCCGAUGUGAGCACCUGAACCCAGGACCACACUUUGAGGAAAACAGACCUGAGUUUCAUUCAGUUGUCUUGUUGAUUUCCAAUCCUUGCUGGAAGAUUUUGAAUAAUGAACGUGAAGAUCAAACUGUGGUGUAAGAACCCAAGAAGCGCAGAAUUGGCCCCCGAACCCCUCAGCACAGCCGCGGUGUGACUGGUGCACAGGACACUUCCCCUCUAGAGUCCCCUCCGUGGUCAGCUGUUGUGACAUUUGAAUUCUCCAGGUGCUGCUAGGGACAGCAUAGGCCCGGGCACUGCUAGAUGCUUGGUUUAAACCAGGCCAAGAGUAACCCUCCCAUCCCCAUUACAAACCACCUUUUCAAGUUUUUUAGGUUUUAGUUUUUUGUUUUUAGCAUAAAUGGCGGAGUAGCAGCAGCAUCUCACCAGGAGCUUUGUCGCAUUACAUUUUGUAUUUUGCUUUUUUGAGACGGGGUCUCACUCUGUUACCCAGGCUGGAAUACAGUGGCACAAUCACAGCUCACUGUAGGCUCUAUCUCCUGGGCUCAGGUGAUCCUCCCAAACUCAGCCUCCCAGGUAGCUGUGGCUCCAGGCGAACUACUGUAUAUAGAGACAGGGUUUCCCUAUGUUGCCCAGGCUGGUCUGGUCUUAUAGUCCUGGGCUCAAGCCUCCCAGAGUGCUGGGAUUACAGGCAUGGGUCACCGCACCAAGCCCGCAUUUAUAUUUUGAGUUACCAAAAUGAUCAUCAUCUGUGAAGCAUCAUGGUAGCUUCCAAGCAUUUGCGGCCCACUGGCCAGUGCAUCCAAAACACAUUCAGGAAACCCGAGAGUUGUAAGUUGCACAUGUGUGGCCUACAGUGACUUCCAUGUAGUAACAGGGCUGAGCAAGGCAGGCUCUCCACCAGACUUAAAGCAUUCAACCACUCUGCCCCCAGGCCGACACUGACAUGUGUUCACUGUCGCUGCCACAGCUGGCCACCUGUGUUCAGUCUCCAUGAAGGAUUCACCUUCUGCUCUCACUGACAUCUCCUUGGCUACACAAAUGUGCAGGUGUCUCUUGUCAAAGCUAAUUUUUCUUUUCUAAAUAAACAUCCUUUAAUACACUCCUCCCCUUCCUCACACUUAUUUUUAUCCUUGUUCGUAAUAUCCUACUUGGCUUCCCAUUUUUUAUAGCAGUAAUAUGUAAUUGAUUGCUAAAGACUGCAAUACACAAAGGCAUAAAGCAAAGCACAAGUGCUCUCCGUGGGGAGAACCCGGCCGGCAGCUGGGGAUGCGUCCCACAGCUCCUCAGCAUGCACACACGGUCACGUGAUUCUGACGGCCUCAUCCUGCACCAUGCCUCUUGUAUCCGCCAUUUUCUUUCUUGCUCAACUGUACAGACUGGGCAUUCACUUAAUGCUUUUCUUUUUUUUUAAGAGAGUCUCACUCUGUUGCCCAGGCUGGAGUGCAAUGGCACAAUCUCAGCUCACUGCAACCUCUGCCUCCUGGGUUCAGGCGAUUCUCCUGCCUCAGCCUCCUGAGUAGCUGGAAUUACAGGUGCCUGCCACCACGCCUGGCUAAUUUUUCUAUUUUUAAUAGAGACAAGGUUUCACCAUGUUGGCCAGGCUGGUCUCGAACUGCCAAUCUCAGGUGAUCUGCCCACCUCGGCCUCCCAAAGUACUGGGAUUACAGGCGUGAGCCACCGCACCCGGCCCACUUCAUGCUUUUAACCUCUGACUCGCAGCUCUCCCGUGAGCCCACAGACGGGCACAGUGACAGCAUCCAGGUUGUCAUCUGUGCAAACAGCAUGUUCUGAAUGUGCCUGUACUCUGUUCGUGCUUCUCUUUGCAGCUGUGCAAGUUCAUUCGCAAACGUCCUAGAAGUGGAACUGCUGGGUCAAAGUGCAUUCCCCAAAUGUCCUGCCAGAGGCCUGGUCGGCAGCAGCCUCCUGCACAGCCCGAGUCCCUUCUGCGAGAGUCCUGGCUUGUUUGCAGCCUGCAGCUGGGAGAUUUGAAGUCAGACUUCCAGGAUUGCCGCAUGGAGCUGCAGAGGGAGUGAGCAUGGGGCUGGAGGACCUGCCCCGCCGGCUGACACUCCCACAGCAAGGCGGGCCCGCCAAGGAAGCACUCCACAUCCGCUAGGUAGGGUUUGUCUGCAUCUUUUCAGUUCUUCAGUUUAAGUCCUGCCUGGGAAGAAAGCAAACUCCAGAGGCAAAUCUGGAAUGCCUGUGUGCCACCUUCUCACCGCACCACAGACUCCCCUGAGGACGGGUUGUGGCGGGGUUGGCCCCAAGCAUGGGAGGCAGCGCAGACAUGCAGAAUGGGGUCUGAGGUCACGUUGCAACGCUGGCAGGAUGUGUGCUCAAGGGCCAGUCUCUGCAGGGGUCAGGGCGUGUGGGCCACGCACAAGGAGCUGGCACUAAGCCGCUUAGGCUGCAGGAAGACACCAUCUGCCUGGGGCGGACAAGGCCCCAUGUCCGUCCUCAAGGAGGCUGGUCUGGAUGAGAAGGGUCACAGUCUGGCCAGGAGUGUCACCGUGCCCCCUGACCCCAUCUGGGGUCGGGCUGGACAGGUCCUCAGGCCUAGACGUGGGCCCAGCCAGAACCUUCUCCCCUGGCAUGUCUCUUCCAGGCCUAGUUCCAGAGCUGUCAUUCUUCGGCGAGCCGCGCUGCACGCCAGCCUCCAGUCUGGCAGUUAAACCUCACUAUGAAAAUCUGCUUUUGGGAUUUUAUUUGCAUUUCCAUUAGACUGAGCGCAUCACAAGCCACUUCAGGAUAGACUGAGGUGCAGAGGGAGGGGACAAGCGGCCAGGUUGACUAGAAGAGCACAGAACCUGGCUGUCUCGAAGAGGGCAGCUUGUUCCAGGGAACCAAUGAACUGUCAGUAAAGGGGAUUGUGGCUUCCUAGUGAGGCAAGAAAUGAUGCUCCCUUCAUCCUGCCAGGGCUCAGGACAAGAGCUACUUAAUGGUUUGAUUAUUAUUAUUUUUUAAGAGAUGUUGUCCAGGCUGGAGUGCAGUGAUGCAAUCAUGGCUUACUGCAGCCUCAAACUCCUGGCCUCAGGCCAUCCUCCUGCCUCAGCCUCCCAAAGUGCUGUGAUCACAGGCACGAGCCACUGCAUCCUGCCUUUAAAUGGUUUUUUGGGGCCCCUUUUGGAUGCUCUGGGUGUUUUUGCCAAGAGUUACAGGAUGUCAAGUGUGGGGAGCUCAGCACCCUUGCUGUGGACCAGUGAAGGCUGUUCCAGACCAGGUGCUUCCAGACAUUUCCAGGCUCCAGGAGAGAGGCUGGGAGCCCCCACAGAAAGC
rnacentral:lncRNA from 1 species